UACGUAGGGCGCAAGCGUUGUCCGGAAUUAUUGGGCGUAAAGAGCUCGUAGGCGGUCUGUCGCGUCGGCUGUGAAAACCCGAGGCUCAACCUCGGGCCUGCAGCCGAUACGGGCAGGCUAGAGUUCGGUAGGGGAGACUGGAAUUCCUGGUGUAGCGGUGAAAUGCGCAGAUAUCAGGAGGAACACCGGUGGCGAAGGCGGGUCUCUGGGCCGAUACUGACGCUGAGGAGCGAAAGCGUGGGGAGCGAACAGG
rnacentral:rRNA from 1 species